GCUUUAGCAGAACAUUCUUCUAACAAACUGCAAUGAUAGAAGAUUAUCACGGUCCUUGCGCUAGGAUGACGUGCAAAUUUGUGAAGGGUGCCAUAUUUUA
rnacentral:snRNA from 1 species